rnacentral:rRNA from 1 species
GACGAACGCUGGCGGCGUGCUUAACACAUGCAAGUCGAACGGUGAAGCGCCUUCCUUUUUGGUGGGUGUGGAUGAGUGGCGAACGGGUGAGUAACACGUGAGUAACCUGCCCCCUUCUUCUGGAUAACCGCAUGAAAGUGUGGCUAAUACGGGAUAUUCUGGGUCUGUCGCAUGAUGGGUCUGGGAAAGAUAUUGUUUCGGUGGGGGAUGGGCUCGCGGCCUAUCAGCUUGUUGGUGGAGUGAUGGCCUACCAAGGCGGUGACGGGUAGCCGGCCUGAGAGGGUGGACGGUCACACCGGGACUGAGACACGGCCCAGACUCCUACGGGAGGCAGCAGUGGGGAAUAUUGCACAAUGGGCGCAAGCCUGAUGCAGCGACGCCGCGUGAGGGAUGGAGGCCUUCGGGUUGUGAACCUCUUUCGCCAGUGAAGCAGGCCUGCCUCGUUUGUGGGUGGGUUGACGGUAGCUGGAUAAGAAGCGCCGGCUAACUACGUG